rnacentral:lncRNA from 1 species
UCGACGACAAUAACCCAAGAGAGGCACUAGAUUCCGAUGACUCAUCCGACCAAUACUCACGAUCUCCGCCACGAACUCUUUCAUCCCUUGUCGUGACUCGUGAGAGAUUUUUUUAACGGCGAUCUCCAGCUUCGUCCCAGGCAUCACACCUUUGUAAACGCUCCCGAACCCGCCAGAUCCGAGAAGGUCCUUCUCCUUGAACCCUUUGGUCGCAUAAUACAAAUCCUUGAACCUGAAUCUGUUCUUGCCAAACUCUUUCUCCCAAUCGUCGAGCUCCUCCGCGAAUUUCCUCCUCCUCCUCACGAUGAAACAGAUGAGGAAGAUCAAAGAGAAAAUCAAAAAUAGAGAAAUCAAAGGCAUACCGAUCUUGAAAAAAUCGGAGAUUCUCCUGGGCUCGAACCGAGGAAGCUUUGGGAGCUUCGAUAAAGCCAAAGGCGGAGCCUUUACGUUCAGACCAAAACUCCACCCGAGAACAAAAUGUUCCGACAGAACAGAACCAGUCGCGGAAGAGAAACCCACGAACAUAUCUUGCCGAAGAACCGAAGAUAGAUCUUUUACAGCCGAAACAAGCACCUUUCUAGGUUUAUCCUCGUUGAACGGAGCCAUCGUCACAUCGAUUUUAUGAGAAAGACCAUCGUAAUCGACCCAAACUUGCAUCGGCUUACGACUGAUCAAACUCAGAUUCUUGAAUUGGUCUUUCUCGUUCCACCACCCAGCAUAUGAAGCUCUCUCAGACUUCAAACUAUUGAUAUUGAUUCCGACAUGGUUAUCGUCG